GAGAAAGUAGAUGUGAGAAUGUGACAGGAUGAAGCAUCUGAUGUCUUUAUUGUUUGUGUCUCUAUGGGGUGUUGCAUUUGGCACUGUUUGGAUUGUGCAGUGGUCGACCAGAGAGAAAUAUGAAGUUGGAGCUUCAGCAGUCCUUCAGUGCAACAUCAGAUCUCAUCAAGAAACUGUUAAGGGAUGUAAAAUAUAUUGGGUCAUAUUGGACCAAAGCAACAAAAAUAGGACAAAAAACAUUGUAAAAAUAGAGGAAUAUCAAAACAGAGUGCAAAUUCAUCAAAAUGGUACUUUUAGUGAAAUUACUCUUCACAAUCUUUCAACAUAUGACACAGAAGAGCUGUUUUGCACGGCAUCCUGUCUCAUUGAUGGAAUACUGAAGCAGAUCUCUAGCAACGGGACUUCACUGAUUAUAACUGAAUGGCAACCGGAGCCUGAAUUUCCAUGGCUACAGUAUCUCUUCUUCUCUCUUAAUCUGCUGGUCUUCUUAAUAGCCACCAUUAUCUGUGCAUUAAUCAUUCGAAAUAGGAUCCAAAGAAAUUAGCACUGGUGACUGUAUAUAUAAUAUUCUGUAUUUUGCAUAAUACUGUGCAACUUUCUGUGCUUUUAUACUUUGUACAACUGUCAGUACUGCAUCCUGCAAGUGAUCCUAAAUUAAUAUUGCUUGAAUGUAAUUAAAACCUGAAAUCUGUAGGCUGUGACUGACUGGAAACAAUAUUAUUAUGAUAUCUUUAAUAAUGACGAUUGGCAUGAUAAC